rnacentral:rRNA from 1 species
GACGAACGCUGGCGGCGUGCUUAACACAUGCAAGUCGAACGGAAAGGCCCUGCUUGCAGGGUACUCGAGUGGCGAACGGGUGAGUAACACGUGGGUGAUCUGCCCUGCACUUCGGGAUAAGCCUGGGAAACUGGGUCUAAUACCGGAUAGGAGCCAUUUUUAGUGUGAUGGUUGGAAAGUUUUUUCGGUGUAGGAUGAGCUCGCGGCCUAUCAGCUUGUUGGUGGGGUAAUGGCCUACCAAGGCGGCGACGGGUAGCCGGCCUGAGAGGGUGGACGGCCACAUUGGGACUGAGAUACGGCCCAGACUCCUACGGGAGGCAGCAGUGGGGAAUAUUGCACAAUGGGCGCAAGCCUGAUGCAGCGACGCCGCGUGGGGGAUGACGGCCUUCGGGUUGUAAACUCCUUUCGCUAGGGACGAAGCUUUUUGUGACGGUACCUAGAUAAGAAGCACCCGCUAACUACGUG